rnacentral:rRNA from 1 species
GAUGAACGCUGGCGGUAUGCCCAACACAUGCAAGUCGUACGAGAGUUUUUAACUCUAGUGGCGGACGGGUGAGUAACACGUGAGAAUUUGCCUUUAGGAGGGGGAUAACAAUUGGAAACGAAUGCUAAUACCCCAUAUGCUUUUGAGUGAAACGGAUUUAUCCGCCUAGAGAGAAGCUCGCGGCUGAUUAGCUUGUUGGUGAGGUAAUGGCUCACCAGGGCGACGAUCAGUAUCUGGUUUGAGAGGAUGAUCAGACACACUGGAACUGAGACACGGUCCAGACUCCUACGGGAGGCAGCAGUGGGGAAUUUUCCGCAAUGGGCGAAAGCCUGACGGAGCAAUACCGCGUGAGGGAUGACGGCCUAUGGGUUGUAAACCUCUUUUUUCAGGGAGGAAUAAAAUGACGUGUACCUGAAGAAUAAGCAUCGGCUAACUCCGUG